UACGUAGGGUGCUAGCGUUGUCCGGAAUUAUUGGGCGUAAAGAGCUUGUAGGCGGUUUGUCGCGUCUGCUGUGAAAACUCAGGGCUUAACCCUGAGCCUGCAGUGGGUACGGGCAGACUAGAGUGUGGUAGGGGAGACUGGAAUUCCUGGUGUAGCGGUGGAAUGCGCAGAUAUCAGGAGGAACACCGAUGGCGAAGGCAGGUCUCUGGGCCACUACUGACCCUGAGAAGCGAAAGCAUGGGGAGCGAACAGG
rnacentral:rRNA from 1 species